ensembl:lncRNA MIR3936HG MIR3936 host gene
GCCCUUUGAGGGGUCCAUGUGAUGUCAAGGAAUGAAGUCUCUAGCCAACAUUUAAUGAGGAACUGAGGCCCACCAACAACCUUGAGUGAGCUUGGAAGUAGCUCCUUCAGCAUCAGUUGGGUGUCGAGAUGACUACUGACAGCUUGACUGCAACUUCAUGAGAGUCUUCUGGACCAGAACCACUCAGUACCAGUUGAAUGAAGAGAAGCACACCUCCUCCCCAGAACAGUACUGCAGCUAUGAUAUAACGCCUGGGCAGGGUUCGCAAUAGCAGCCAGGCUGUAAUGUAAGCUGGAAUUUCAAUCAAGGCAGAGAGGAAACAGUUCAGAUGGAGUCUUGCUCUGCUGCCCAGGCUGGAGUACAGUAGUGCGAUCAAGGCUCACUGGAACCUCCACCUCCUGGGUUCAAGUGAUUCUCCUGCCUCAGCCUCCCAAGUAGCUGGGAUUACAGCUGCCCGGACACGAAGGAGCCGAGGAGCACGCCUACGAAGAACAGGGAGGUGGUGAGGGGCACCUUCCAGUUGUCCUCACACACCAGAUUCCACUGCCAAGGAAGACAGCAUGAAGCGUGAGCCCAACCCUGAGGCAGACCUCAACCCCAGCCCAGCUCUGAGGGAAUAUUAGCACGGCUGGCGGGCAGACUCUCCUCCCCUGGGCCAGGAUAUUGCCUUUGUACAAAGGGCAUAGGCCUUGCAGCCCUGGGUUUGACUGGCCUGUGCCGGGACUGGGGAGAGUAACCUGGGGCAGGUCACUGCCCUCCCUGAAACUCAGGAUCCUCUUUGGAAAGGGAGGGUGAUGCUCCUACUCCGCUCGCAUUACAUAGCAAGAAGCCAGCCAAGGCCAUGGCUGUGACUGGUGACCCCUCAGCUGUGAGGCAGUCCAAAGUAAAGGUGGCACUGCAUCUUCAGAAGCCAGCCUAGUGCGGAGGGGAGGUGUUUGAAAAGCCCAAAGGGCAGGGCAGAGGGCAUGGCCACUUGGUCCAGGCGUAAAAUUUCUUUUCCCUUGUUGAAAAGUGCAAGUGGUUCCAGGAGCUCUGUGACUUUAUUUUCUGAGCAGGCCCCUCUGAGAAAUCAUGUGGUCCCUGGUCCACUCACGCCUAGGCCAAGCUUGUGGCCUGAUUCGGGGCCCCAUCGUUCUGGGGCCUACUUACUCCUCUCCAGGGCUCCCUAGCUCCCCUCCUAC